rnacentral:rRNA from 1 species
UACGGAGGGGGCUAGCGUUGUUCGGAAUUACUGGGCGUAAAGCGCACGUAGGCGGAUUUGUUAGUCAGGGGUGAAAUCCCGGGGCUCAACCUCGGAACUGCCUUUGAUACUGCAAAUCUCGAGUCCGAUAGAGGUGGGUGGAAUUCCUAGUGUAGAGGUGAAAUUCGUAGAUAUUAGGAAGAACACCGGUGGCGAAGGCGGCCCACUGGAUCGGUACUGACGCUGAGGUGCGAAAGCGUGGGGAGCAAACAGG